rnacentral:lncRNA from 1 species
ACCUCCGAUCUGCAGAGUAGGAGACAGCACAGAAGCACUGGGAGACUUGUCCAAGGUCUCACAGCUAAAGAUCAAGACCUCAAGCUAGCCCCUAAAUCCAGACAGCAGACUGCAGCCCUGGGUUCUGUGUCCUACACUCACCCCACCUGCGCCCUUGGCCCACACCUUCCCUCUCUGAACCCCAGUUUCCCUAUCUAUACAGGGACCCUGGCUGCGAAAUGCACAAGUCUGCGCGCCCACCUCCACUGCAGACGUGGUGACCGCAGCUCACCUCGGAUCUCAGGCUGCCAGAUCCAGACCUGGAGGUGCAGGACCAAGAAGAGGUCCUCUGUCUAUGAGCUACACACAGGGACGCCUCAACCUCCUGCAGUUACAGAGAGGACAGUGACACAGUGCUUCCCUCACUCGUCCUCAAAUUCGGAAUCUAACUCUUCCCAACUCAGAGACAUCCAAUCUGUGACAGCCCAUGAGGAGCCCCAUAGAGGCCCUCGGCACUGUGCUCUGGAGUUUCUGAAGGCAGAUCUACUGUUGCCUGAGAUUUCUAAGCCACUGCCUUUAUCCUGCAACUUUUCACCUCCACGUGCAAUGACAACUUUAACAGCCAUCGGUCAGCACCUGCGUUUCAGCCAGGACAGAAUAUGUGUGUUAGAAUCAAAAGUCUGUGACACUUAAACCUGGGGACCUUAGGCAAAUCAAUUGCAAACAAAGGCCAUGUUUACCCCAAUCCAGCCUUCAGAGGCUGUUCCGUCCCAUUGACAAGCUCAGGGAGGCGCAUGGUGGGUGUCAACAGACUGGAUCUGAAGGGUGUGAGUCAGCUUCCCCUUACUAGAAUCAAACGCCUGGGAUGAUUCACUUAUAAGAGAAAAGUGCUCAAGUCAGGGACUGACUCUGCCACCUUCCAGACUUACUCUAAAACUGCCGGUUCUACACAGUGAGUACCAGUGAGAGAACGUGCCGGUGAUUCGGUGGCACGAGCCGGGAGCCCAGAAUAGACCACGCUCAGCUGGUUUUUGACAAAGGAACAGAGAGGUCUUCUCCACAACUGGCGCUGUAAAACCUGGGCAUGCUGAUAUGAGUCAUAACAAUAAAAUCAGAUACUGACUUCAUCCCUUUCAUAAAAAUUAAUUCAAAAUCAAUACCGUGCAUCGUAUGUUUUACCCA